rnacentral:misc_RNA from 1 species
GAUUGUCCGACCAAGCUCCAAAAGAAGAGCACCUAUGUGCUGCAUUGCAAGGCCAACUUGAGCUGAUUCUGUCUGAAUUUGGCCCCUCACAGAAGGAUUACCAGAAACUCCCUCUCGUUCCAAGCGUUCUGCAAUAUGAGAUAAUGCAGUGAUCACAUGACCACCGAGAAGCCGUUCUGCAUGUCGCAGGACAAUGUGCAAUGCUUGCAAUCCCCUUACAUUAGAAGGUAAUUCUACAUUUGGGACAUCUCCUGUGUUGUUUGAAGUUGCAAUUGGCUGGUACCCAUUUUGUGCCAGUGCCUGCUCCAUAUGCGUCAUAAACUCAGAAAGUGUACUCAAAGAAUCAGGAAUUGGCGAAUGAAGCAAAGGAAGAGGUACUGCUGCAGUCAGAGGAAUUUGCAUGACCUGAGGUGGCAAUUGAAAUGGCUGACCAGGCUGUGUUUGAUUUCCUGCUUGACUCUGACCACUAACAUUACUUCGUAAGCCAUCUACUGUUUCAUUUCCUCGAGUCUGACCACUAACAUUUGACAUGUUAGAGGACUGCAUUCCACCAAUGCCAUUAAUUGCAGUCUGACCCCCAAUGCCAAAAGAGUUCAGCACCGCGCCAAUAACCCGACUGAGGUCUGGAAAAAUGCCUUCACCUUGCUCCCCAACAUUAAAGGUCCCAAGAACUAUACUGUGUGAUAUUUGCCCAACACGAUUUUGGGGGAUGCCAGCACUAGGAUCAUUACCUCGGUUACCAUUAUUUGCAUUUGUGUCACCAGAACUUGCAUCAGUUGAAGGUUGCAACUGUGCUGGCUGCCUUGCAACCAAGUGCAAGGUAUGCCCAUUCUCCACUUG